UACAGAGGUCUCGAGCGUUAGGCGGAAUCACUGGGCUUAAAGCGUGUGCAGGCGGAUCGUUAAGUGCCUUGUGAAAUCCCACGGCUCAACCGUGGAACUGCUUGGCAUACUGGCGGUCUUGAGCAACCUAGGGGCGAGCGGAACAAAUGGUGGAGCGGUGAAAUGCGUAGAUAUCAUUUGGAACGCCAAUGGUGAAAACAGCUCGCUGGGGGUUUGCUGACGCUGAGACGACGAAAGCCAGGGGAGCAAACGGG
rnacentral:rRNA from 1 species